GACGAACGCUGGCGGCGUGCUUAACACAUGCAAGUCGAACGGAAAGGCCCUGCUUUUGUGGGGUGCUCGAGUGGCGAACGGGUGAGUAACACGUGAGUAACCUGCCCUUGACUUUGGGAUAACUUCAGGAAACUGGGGCUAAUACCGGAUAGGAGCUCCUGCUGCAUGGUGGGGGUUGGAAAGUUUCGGCGGUUGGGGAUGGACUCGCGGCUUAUCAGCUUGUUGGUGGGGUAGUGGCUUACCAAGGCUUUGACGGGUAGCCGGCCUGAGAGGGUGACCGGCCACAUUGGGACUGAGAUACGGCCCAGACUCCUACGGGAGGCAGCAGUGGGGAAUAUUGCACAAUGGGCGGAAGCCUGAUGCAGCAACGCCGCGUGCGGGAUGACGGCCUUCGGGUUGUAAGCCGCUUUCGCCUGUGACGAAGCGUGAGUGACGGUAAUGGAUAAAGAAGCACCGGCUAACUACGUG
rnacentral:rRNA from 1 species